GCCUUGGGCUACACACACGCUACAAUGGGUGAUACAACGGGUUGCGAGAGAGCGAUCUGGAGCUAAUCCCUAAAAUCAUCCUCAGUUCGGAUUGCAGGCUGAAACUGCCUGCAUGAAGUUGGAGUUGCUAGUAACCGCAGGUCAGCACACUGCGGUGAAUACGUUCUCGGGCCUU
rnacentral:rRNA from 1 species